AUUGAACGCUGGCGGCAGGCCUAACACAUGCAAGUCGAGCGGCAGCGGGAAAGUAGCUUGCUACUUUUGCCGGCGAGCGGCGGACGGGUGAGUAAUGCCUGGGAAAUUGCCCAGUCGAGGGGGAUAACAGUUGGAAACGACUGCUAAUACCGCAUACGCCCUACGGGGGAACGCAGGGAACCUUCGGGCCUUGCGCGAUUGGAUAUGCCCAGGUGGGAUUAGCUAGUUGGUGAGGUAAUGGCUCACCAAGGAGACGAUCCCUAGCUGGUCUGAGAGGAUGAUCAGCCACACUGGAACUGAGACACGGUCCAGACUCCUACGGGAGGCAGCAGUGGGGAAUAUUGCACAAUGGGGGAAACCCUGAUGCAGCCAUGCCGCGUGUGUGAAGAAGGCCUUCGGGUUGUAAAGCACUUUCAGCGAGGAGGAAAGGUCAGUAGCUAAUAUCUGCUGACUGUGACGUUACUCGCAGAAGAAGCACCGGCUAACUCCGUGCCAGCCGCCGCCGUAAGAC
rnacentral:rRNA from 1 species